CCUACGGGUGGCAGCAGUGAGGAAUAUUGGUCAAUGGCCGUAAGGCUGAACCAGCCAAGUCGCGUGAGGGAAGAAUGUCCUAUGUGUUGUAAACCUCUUUUAUGCGGGGAUAAAGGUGUCCACUAGUCGCCGUUUGCAGGUACCGCAAGAAUAAGCAUCGGCUAAAUCCGUGCCAGCAGCCGCGGUAAUACGGAAGGUCCGGGCGUUAUCCGGAUUUAUUGGGUUUAAAGGGUGCGUAGGCCGGUCUGUAAGUGUGCCGGGAAAAGUCGGGGCUCAACCCCGGGAGAGCGGUGGAAACUGGAGGGCUGGAGUUGGAGGGAGGCACGCGGAAUGCGUGGUGUAGCGGUGAAAUGCUUAGAUAUCGCGAAGAACCCCGAUUGCGAAGGCAGCGUACCGGAGCCAUACUGACGCUGAGGCACGAAAGCGCGGGUAUCGAACAGGAUUAGAUACCCGUGUAGUC
rnacentral:rRNA from 1 species